UACGGGGGGAGCAAGCGUUGUUCGGAUUUACUGGGCGUAAAGGGCUCGUAGGUGGCCAACUAAGUCGGACGUGAAAUCCCUCGGCUUAACCGGGGAACUGCGUCCGAUACUGGUUGGCUUGAGUUUGGGAGAGGGAUGCGGAAUUCCAGGUGUAGCGGUGAAAUGCGUAGAUAUUGGGAGGAACACCAGUGGCGAAGGCGGCUCGCUGGACCGGUUCUGACGCUGAGGCGCGAAAGCGUGGGUAGCAAACAGG
rnacentral:rRNA from 1 species